rnacentral:rRNA from 1 species
UACAUGGGGUGCAAACGUUGCUCGGAAUUAUUGGGCGUAAAGCGCGCGUAGGCGGUUACUUAAGUCGGAUGUGAAAGCCCUCGGCUUAACUGAGGAAGUGCACCCGAAACUGAGUAGCUAGAGUACGAAAGAGGGUCGCGGAAUUCCCGGUGUAGAGGUGAAAUUCGUAGAUAUCGAGAGGAACACCGGUGGCGAAGGCGGCGACCUGGGUCGAGACUGACGCUGAGGCGCGAAAGCGUGGGGAGCAAACAGG